CGCCCCCCGCGCCGCCCGGCUCCGCGCGGCCGAGGCGGGAACGGCGGGGCUGCGGCGCUGUCUGCCGGGUGGAGGAGCGCGGGGCUGGCGGGAGGGCGUCGGUCGGCGGUGGGUCCGGUCCCGGUCGCGCCCGGCAGCUUUCACACAGAUGGGGAGGUGGGUGCAGUCUGCCAUCAAGCCAGCACCCCAGGGAUGCCUGUGGACCCAGCCAAGGCAGCAUCAGUGAGGAUCCUUCCAUGCCAUGGUGGACUCCAGAGGUGUAGGAACCCCCUUGGAUGUUACAGAAACAUGGUCAGAGCCCUCUCCACAAGUGGAAUUCCCCCUGAAGGUCUCAAAAGCUGAACUGCUUCUAAUUCAGAUGCCAAAGCAGAAUCUGUUUCUCAUGUGCCCUGCAUUCAGCUGUCAGACUUGCACGCAAUGCUGUAAAACAGAUCCUGCUGAGGAAAAGCCUGGCUAAUGGGGAGACCUAUAGUUCCUAUGCACCUCCUUGAACAUCAGGAGCAGUCAACUGGGGUGACUGGAGGAGUCCAUCUCUUUCCCUUGCCCUCUAAGAUCAGGAUUUAUUAGAAAGAAACCUAGGCAAUGAAGAACCUACAGAAAUCUCACCAGGAGCAAUACCCACAUGCAGGCGCACUCUGGAUUGCUGCGUGGCCGCAGCAGCACAUGAGCCUGGCCUCACAAAGAGCAGUCAGCACUGCCGAGGGUGGACAUUUUGGGUGUAACUGUGCUUCACAGUGUUACAUCUGCUUGCAGCCAUUCUAGAGGAUCCACACACAGGCCAGAAGAUGACAGGAAUGCCAGAAAAGGCUUUCCACAAAAAAAACCAAAACUUUCUGAAGCUUCAAUAAUCUGUGCUGACUCAUGCUGUUUCUGAGUUGUCACCUGCACUUGUAUUUUUCAGUGGUUUUGCAAACCCGUGAGGUGGAUUUAGUCAUCUUUCUGAUGGACAACAUUUCUGGAGGAUUCCCUUUCCAACCCUUCAUGGCUGGCUUUGCCAGGAGUCCUGAAGGGUGAUCAGUGGUGCGGGUGGUUGGUGCUGCAGCUGCCAGGCUGAGCCAGUGCUCCAAAGCAUUUGCUGCUGUCAAGUGAGCUUUGCAGGGCAGGGAGGAAGGAGUUGGCCUGUUUGAUUUGGAGGGAUAUUGCUUUGAUAAAUAAAGAACAGCUUUGACUACCGCAGGAAAGUGGGGGGUUUUGCUGUUUAAUAUCCUAGAUAAGAAAUUCUGGUCAUGAAAGUCUGUAUAAUUAUUGAGGAAGCAAUGGGAAAAGUAAUAUUCUCGAGUGCCCCAAGAGACCCUCUAGCAAAUCGAGGAAGAAUUAACAUGCCUUAAAUACUUCUUAAACAAGGGGGGGGGGGGGGGGGGGGGGGAACCCAAAACUUGUUCCUUUUCCUGCUCCUCCAGCAUUUCAGACUUUUUGUCUGUUUUACAAAUAAGCAAAAUGGGAGACAAGGUCAAUUUGUGAGUACCCUUGUGUGGAAGGCUAUUCAUCUGGCACAGACUGACCUGUCCUGAAGGGCUGUGCGUGCCCCCAGAGGGUUCCAGAGAGUGGAGCCAGCCAUGGUCCCCACAUGCCAUCCCACGGUAGUGCCUGCAUCCCACCUAUGGUAGUGCAUCAUCUCUGUGGCCCAUCUGGAAGUAAAAGACAACUGCGUUCUCAGGCUUGGGAGUGUUAAUUAAUGAGCGGAACUGAUGCCAAUAGUACUGCAUGAACUGGUGAACUCAAAAUGUUUUCCCUGUCCAGGUUUUGGGGGGGCUGUGAUUGCAGCUGGGCUAUAAACAUAGAUUUGGAAAGUGCUUCUGAAGCAGAUCAGCCGUUUCCCCAGCUGGAGCAGUUUCUAGUCCUGCUGGAUGUCACCACAUAAAUUCUCUCUGGGUGAGUCUGAGCCCUGUGUCUUUUUGGUGGUGAAGUCCUGCCGGGAGCCAGAGAAGCUGUGGCUCCUGUUUGUUAAAGCUUGGUCCAUGCCAGGCUUGGCCCAUGAUGGGCUUGGCCCACAGAGGUGAGAAUAGCCAGAGGUGGCUCCACAUCAAACCCCUGACCUAGAUUUCUUAAUGCAUUUAUGCUUUAAUAAACCACUUCUUAUAACACGGUACACUGUGCAAUACGAUUUGCAGUUAUGCUAACUCCAUGAUUUUCAAUAAUAACCUCAAUGCAUUCUGAAUGUUGUGAAAGGCCAUUUAGUUUAAGGAGUAAUUUUUGAACUCUUUUUGAGGGACCUUAAAUAUUUCUAAACUUUCAAACUAAAUUCUUGUAAUUCAAUAUUUAUUGUUGCAUUUAGCAUGAAAUAUAGAACAAAGCCUGAAUUCAGGGAUGCUCUUGACUUUAGCAGUAAACACUGACAGCAUUUUUAAUAUAUACUAUAUUUUAGUGGUGAAUACUUAAAAUUCUUCUUGUGUUUUGUGUCCUCAGCUAUUUCUCUCUCUACUGUGGUUAUCUGUAGAUUCUGCAUUGGAAUGAGCAACAUGCAGAGAUCUAAGACUUAUGAUAAGCUUAGCCUAGACUGGUCUAAUGCAUGUUUUGAGGAGAAGUGUAGGUAUUUUCUGACAAAGACGUAGAUUUUUAUUUUUUUUAUCUUUAACGUGAAGUUCCAUCUGCAUGUUACAAAAA